UUCCCUCCCAAAGGAAGCCUGAAAAUGACCAGCAGCUCACCACUAUUACUGCCAACUCUGAAAUAAUAUCGUGUCCCUGAGAAUCAAAUGAAGAAAUAAAAGUUCCACAUCAUUAGGCCAGAUAACUCUUCCCACCAGCAGCUGCACAACAGACCAGUAUCCAUGGUAAGGUAGUACAAACUGAUGCUUAGAUGUUCUGGGUUAACCAGAAAGUAAGCUCAGGUACGCUCAGGUGUUUAGCGAACCUCUAUCAGGCUGAACCAGAUAUAUCCAAGAAUAACUGAAAGUGGGGGGGGGGGGAGUUUUGUAUUUGACUUCUUUUUCAGAACAGAACGCAACUGGAAAGCGAAUGUACCACACACAAAAGAAGCACAAAGAGCGAAUGCACCACGCUUUGUCUCUCUUGCAAUUUCAACACUUGCUCAUCUGAGCAUAUACAUAGUUUCUAACAGACUUUUUGAGUUUAGAAACCAUGAACAAAUAAAGUUCCAAAUCUUGCAAAAUUCAA